CAAAACUCAACCCUUGCUUCUUGACGUAUUGAGUUUCGAGACAACCUGAGAAGAACGAGAUUAGGGUUUGCUGUUCUUUGGAGAUUAAGUGAGGUUGAUGAUAGAAUCGAUUGAUUAAUGAUGGGUUUUGUUUAUUUAAGACAAGGGAGAAGAAUUAUCUGUUGAUUCAAGAAGUUUAGUGAAGAACUGAAGAGCUUGGGUUUCUCUGAGUUUGAUUAAAGAUGAAUUAGAAGAUGAAAUUGACGUAAAGGUGAUUGAACUAGUGAUGGGUUUGUUCUUAUUUGAAGUAUGAUUGGAUGUUUAGGGCUGUUAUGGUGGGAAUCGAGAAAUUAUGAUUCAUGUGUUCUUCCCCAAAUUGAAGUUAGGGUAUGAGUGAAAUUGAUCUGGUAGAUUGGCGAUUCAGAAGAUGUUAAAGCUUGGGUAAGUCUUUAAUUGUUCUAAUUUCGUUAUUUUGGAUUGAGUUGAUUAAAGUAUUUAGUUGAUGUGAUUGAGAAUAUAACCUGGAUUGAGAUAAGUGUAGAAUGGAAUUGUAAUUUUGGUCUAGAGUUAUAGUUGUGGUGUAUCUGAAGUUACAGGUGUGGAAUUAAGGAAGUUGAUGUUGAUGUUGUGGAUACUGUGGUAUUUUUGAAUGCAUGGAAAAUAUUGAAGGUACUAUUGAAACUAAGAUUGAACAGUUAUCUGAGUAUGAUUUUGAGAAUGGUGGUGGAUGUGAGAAUCUCAGAUAGAACUGGAGUUAGCUGUGAUCUUGAUGUUGAGAGUGGAGUGAGUAUGUAAUAAAGAGUUAGAUGAAUGUUAAAAUCUGUGUUUGAGACAGAGAUGAUGAUUCUGGUUUCACAAGUAGAGAUGAAAUUAUGGGUGUGAUCUGAUAGUCGAACUUCGUAAUACAAAAGAUGGUUGUUGAGUGUUGAUUGAACUAAUGGGUAUUGUCAACCUAGUAAUGAAAUGCAGUUAAUGAUGAGGUAGGUUGUAAUGUUGGAGAUGUUGGAGUUUGCUGUUGAAAUGAGUUGCAGAUAAAGUGAAAUGAUGAUGUUGUUGGCGUGGUCUGUGUAGUUGGAUUUGAAGGUGGUGAGGUAUUAUGGUCUGCAGUGGAUGUAAUCGUGAUCUCCAGAUGGUUUGUGGAUUGUAACUGAUGUUCAGAUUGCAAGUGUAUAAUGGUGCAGGUGAAAUGAGAUAGUGUUGUAAUUGUGAAGAAGGUAUUGUGUAAGUAUAUUUGGUGUUGCAUGUGUUAGUAAUUGAGGGAGAUGUAUUGGGUUGUAGUAAACUGAAUAAUGGAAUCCGGUUGCAGUGUAAGUCUGAGAAGGAAGUGACAAUGAAAUAGAGAGUGAAGAUGUAGCUGUGUAUGUAGGAAGAGUAUGGCUUAGUACUGCAAUUGCAGGUGCAAUGGAGUCAUUAUGAGCAAAAGAAGAAGAAAACGCUCAUUUGGAGCGAAAAUGACAAAAACGGCAUUUCAAUGGCUAAUGCUGCGCGGAGUCAACCUAUGGAAUUAGGGGCAAAUAAUUUUGGUGUCCUAUAUCAAUUCAUCGGGUGCCUAGAAUCAUUCUGGUUGACCCGUUAUCUGCCUCACCUGGGUGGUGGCAUCCAUUCUACUACACAAGCCCUAGAAUUCAGAAGAGAGUUAUUUCUCAAUCAUUUGGUUUCUAACUCAGAAGAGUGUGCGGCUGAGUUCAGGGUCUCUGCGUGUUUGAAAUUAAGAGAAGGAAUCAGAGAAUCGUUAAUGAAAUUCGAGGGAUUUUGAUGGGUUCAAUUCUGGUGAUGUUGGUGAGACAUCGAGAAGCGGAAAUCGAAAGUUAGGGUUCAUUUAAUGUGAAUCGAGAAGACCCUGUUGUUGUUGAAGAACGAGAUUCAGAGCUCGAUUCAGUUUAGGGUUUUGGAACUGGUGAAUUUGAGAAGAACUGGUGAAGAUUAUCGUUACAAUUAUGGUGAAGAUGAAGCUGUUGUCAUCUGGUUAUUGAUUUGAAACUGAAAUGGAAGUUAGGGUUUCGAUCUGUGAAGAGUUAGGUGUUGAUGAAUGAAGGGUUCAACUCGAAUUUGAGUUUGGAAUCAUGGGUUUGUGUUGGAUUCGAAGAGUAC